rnacentral:tmRNA from 2 species
GGGGAUGAAAUGUUUCGACAGUGGAAGAAGUAGUAUAUCGUGCGUGCCGAGCAUGUUCGUAGUCUCGUAAAUCACGCGAACAACUUGAAAGUGCCAAGAAAAGCACCGGUGGAAUUGCGACGCCUUACUUUAAGGCCAACAAUUUCGCUUUCGCCUACGCUUAAGUAGACGGCGCGAAGCGGGAGUACGCCUGAUAGGCCCAUCCUUCGUGUCAUAUUUUCAGGAUAAGAAUCGUAGUACCCGAAUACGAUAACGAAAACUAAGGGAGUAGUGCUCGUAAGGUUUUGUUUGCCUAGCCCUUACGACAUGAAAUCAAUGAGACAACCUACGCACGUAGAUCUUUGUACUCUUCUCUGCUGGACGCGGGUUCGCCCCCGCCAUCUCCACAU